rnacentral:lncRNA from 1 species
AGAAUGCAUCUCCUGUAAUCUGUGCAACACAAGACUGAAUCUUGAGCUCGUGUCUAAUAGACUGAAGUCUGUCUGCCUCUGCUUAACGUCUUCCUUUGGAGGCCAUUCUGAGUGCUGUUGGUCACUUGACUAAAGACUCUUUCUGAUGUGCUCCUAGUGUGACUGGACAUCCUGAUUAGGUCUCGCUCCCAUGCCCUCCUCUCUAUUGUAGGCCCAGGUUGGUGAGCUCUCCAGUGCACAGAGAAAACAGGGAGUCUACAGGCUGCCUGCAAUGAAAGGAGGAAAAUUGCUGAAGACUCACAAAGAACCACCUUUCCUCGAAGAAGAGGAGGCUGUGAUUGAGCAGGAGGCCCGGGACACCUAGAGAAGAGUCAGGAUGGAGGAUGAGGGGUCGUGGGGAGCCAGAGCCUAGCCCCGCAACACAGGGCAGAAAGCUGGAGGGGGAGGAGACACACCCAGGACAGGACGCCAGUCUGUCGCAAGGCACCCCAAGCAGGACUUGAACCCCAGACCCACCAGAGAGCAGGACCCAGCCCAACCUACUGCACCACUGCCCCCCCC